AAGUCGUAACAAGGUCUCCGUUGGUGAACCAGCGGAGGGAUCAUUACUGAGUACUACACUUCUACCCUUUGUGAACUAUUAUACCUGUUGCUUCGGCGGCGCCCGCAAGGGUGCCCGCCGGUCUCAUCAGAAUCUCUGUUUUCGAACCCGACGAUACUUCUGAGUGUUCUUAGCGAACUGUCAAAACUUUUAACAACGGAUCUCUUGGCUCCAGCAUCGAUGAAGAACGCAGCGAAACGCGAUAUGUAAUGUGAAUUGCAGAAUUCAGUGAAUCAUCGAAUCUUUGAACGCACAUGGCGCCUUCCAGUAUCCUGGGAGGCAUGCCUGUCCGAGCGUCGUUUCAACCCUCGAGCCCCUGUGGCCCGGCGUUGGGGAUCUGCCACGGCAGGCCCCUAAAACCAGUGGCGGACCCGAAGGGCCCCUCUCCUUUGCGCAGUAGCAUUCGCCUCGCAUCGGGAGUCCUCGGCGUCCUGCCUCUAAACCCCCCCACAAGCCCGCUUCGGCGGCACCAAGGUUGACCUCGGAUCAGGUAGGAAUACCCGCUGAACUUAA
rnacentral:rRNA from 1 species